CGGCGAGCGAACGGGGAGCAGCCCAGAGUCUGAAUCAGCUUGUGUGUUAGUGGAACGGUCUGGAAAGUCCGACGGUACAGGGUGAUAGUCCCGUACACCAAAAUGCACAGGUUGUGAACUCGAAGAGUAGGGCGGGACACGUGGUAUCCUGUCUGAAUAUGGGGGGACCAUCCUCCAAGGCUAAAUACUCCUGACUGACCGAUAGUGAACCAGUACCGUGAGGGAAAGGCGAAAAGAACCCCGGCGAGGGGAGUGAAAAAGAACCUGAAACCGUGUACGUACAAGCAGUGGGAGCACCUUCGGGUGUGACUGCGUACCUUUUGUAUAAUGGGUCAGCGACUUAUAUUCUGUAGCAAGGUUAACCGUAUAGGGGAGCCGCAGGGAAACCGAGUCUUAACUGGGCGUUAAGUUGCAGGGUAUAGACCCGAAACCCGGUGAUCUAGCCAUGGGCAGGUUGAAGGUUGGGUAACACUAACUGGAGGACCGAACCGACUAAUGUUGAAAAAUUAGCGGAUGACUUGUGGCUGGGGGUGAAAGGCCAAUCAAACCGGGAGAUAGCUGGUUCUCCCCGAAAGCU
rnacentral:rRNA from 1 species